UUUUUUUUUUUUUUUUAGCUUUAACAGCCUGUCUAAUUAUUCUUCCUUUGAAUUUUCACAUCUGCAUAAUUAACUUAGCGAUCCUCUGCCCUGGAGAAUUUCCCCCUCUUAACAGGCUUUACUCUGCUUUUUUUCUUUGAGUCUUGUCUAUGCUGAACAUCAAUCUUAGUGUGAUCAGAUCCCAGAGGUGUCUCUGUGAUGGGGAUGGUGGAGGGACAACAAAGGGACCUCCCCCGGCCUAGUAUUUUCCCCAGAGCUGGACUUUCUCCCUCAUGUAUGCCAAAGCGGCACAGGAGGAUGUCUCCCACACAGCUUCCCAAUCUGCAGAGGUUUCUGCUCAUCACUUGGUCUACAACCAACAUCUUCUCAACAUCCUAGCCCACAGACAUUCCAUUUCCUGAGUACUCAUGUCAGAAAUCAUAGGAAUGAGCAAAUUCCUUUGUAUGAAAGGUUGUUAACCAGGGUUCUGUGGAUAAACUUCAGAGGAUCUAAAACUAUAUCUAAAUUUUUAUGUGCACUUUUAGUGAUGUCAAGGAUCCAGAGUGAAUGUUUACCUUGAAUCCUUCAGUCCCUUUGCUAGUAGUACCCCAUUUCCCUACAUGGAAUCUCUCUCCCCACUGUGCACAGGCUAGGCAGGACAGUGGGUUGAGAAUGCCACUUCCCACUAAAAAGACCUGGGGGAUCGAUGCCCAGUGAUCCCUCCUCCUCUUCCAACCCUUGUGCAUUCAAUCCCACUGACCUUCCUGAGACCGCAUCGUGAAGAGGAGGCUCCAGGGAAGAGAGGCAUUAUUAGCCUGUGUCUGCUGCUGCCUAGCUGCCUAGGGCUCUCUUAGUCCCAGUUCCAAGCCAGGAUUUCCACUCCAGCUCUCAAAGCUUCUGGGACCUCGGCAUAGCCUGUCCAUAGUAUGUGAGUCAGGUUCUCUUGCCAGAUUACUCUUAAGUGAAUUCAUGGCAUCUAGAAAACAUCACAGGAGUCUGUGGUUGGAAACCUUGAAGGCAGUGAACAGUCCUGAAUGAAGCCAAUUAACACAUUGAGCCAUCACUGUUCUGAAGGCUCUGAGUAACUGGUGUCAAGGGACCAUUGUCAACAUCACAGCCUGCAGAAAGCUGCUCCCUGGACAUGAAUGUUGUGCAUAGCCCUGAAAUGUGGGUAUUGAGAUUUACACAGAACACUCCUGUGAAGGUCAGUGGUGAGGGGAUGUCGGCUGUGCCAUAGAAGGGUAGGAGUCUUGGGGCCUUGUGAUGAGGAAGAGCCAAUGGAAAGAGGAUAGCUUGGGCUCUGAGAAGACUCCCAAGCAAACCUCAUCCUUCUCAGGAUGGCUAGGGGAUAACCUGGUCUAGGGGCAUCAGUGACCAGUACCCCCAGGGUCUCAGUCAGAGGAGGCAAAUCACCACCUUAUUAUGGCAUCUCCAUGCUUCCUGAGGAAAAGGUAGCU
rnacentral:lncRNA from 1 species